rnacentral:rRNA from 1 species
UACGUAGGGUGCAAGCGUUAAUCGGAAUUACUGGGCGUAAAGCGUGCGCAGGCGGUUUUGUAAGUCUGUCGUGAAAUCCCCGGGCUCAACCUGGGAAUUGCGAUGGAGACUGCAAGGCUGGAGUCUGGCAGAGGGGGGUAGAAUUCCACGUGUAGCAGUGAAAUGCGUAGAGAUGUGGAGGAACACCGAUGGCGAAGGCAGCCCCCUGGGUCAAGACUGACGCUCAUGCACGAAAGCGUGGGGAG